UUUGAUAAUACUAAUGAAUAAAACUAUUUAAAAGCUAGACUAGUUGUAGUUAUGUUACGUGUAAUAUGUAUGUAUGUAUGUAUGUAUUCAUUGUUUCCACAGACCUUCUGCGAAUGAUACAGGUAGAUAACUACGAUUAUCCAAUGGUGAAUAACAGUCGUA
rnacentral:ribozyme from 1 species